UACAGAGGUCUCAAGCGUUGUUCGGAAUCACUGGGCGUAAAGCGUGCGUAGGCUGUUUCGUAAGUCGUGUGUGAAAGGCGCGGGCUCAUCCCGCGGACGGCACAUGAUACUGCGAGACUAGAGUAAUGGAGGGGGAACCGGAAUUCUCGGUGUAGCAGUGAAAUGCGUAGAUAUCGAGAGGAACACUCGUGGCGAAGGCGGGUUCCUGGACAUUAACUGACGCUGAGGCACGAAGGCCAGGGGAGCGAAAGGG
rnacentral:rRNA from 1 species